ACACAUGCAAGUCGAACGAACUCUUCGGAGUUAGUGGCAGACGGGUGAGUAACGCGUGGGAAUAUACCUUUCGGUACGGAACAACAGUUGGAAACGACUGCUAAUACCGUAUGCGCCCUAUGGGGGAAAGAUUUAUCGCCGAAGGAUUAGCCCGCGUUGGAUUAGCUAGUUGGUGGGGUAAAGGCCUACCAAGGCGACGAUCCAUAGCUGGUCUGAGAGGAUGAUCAGCCACACUGGGACUGAGACACGGCCCAGACUCCUACGGGAGGCAGCAGUGGGGAAUAUUGGACAAUGGGGGCAACCCUGAUCCAGCCAUGCCGCGUGAGUGAUGAAGGCCCUAGGGUUGUAAAGCUCUUUCAGCGAGGAGGAUAAUGACGUUACUCGCAGAAGAAGCCCCGGCUAACUUCGUGCCAGCAGCCGCGGUAAUACGAAGGGGGCUAGCGUUGUUCGGAAUCACUGGGCGUAAAGCGCACGUAGGCGGAUUGGUCAGUUAGGGGUGAAAUCCCAGAGCUCAACUCUGGAACUGCCUUUAAUACUGCCAGUCUUGAGUCCGAGAGAGGUGAGUGGAACUCCGAGUGUAGAGGUGAAAUUCGUAGAUAUUCGGAAGAACACCAGUGGCGAAGGCGGCUCA
rnacentral:rRNA from 1 species